UGCAGCUAUAUUAUGUUGAAGCAGCAGUUCUCCUAUGAUCACCAAAGUUAAGCAAUGUUGAACCUGGUCAGUAUCUAAAUGGGUGACCACUUGGGAAUACCAGGUGCUGUAAG